GUCUUUCCGGGGACAUCGAUAAAAUUAGAACGAUAUAGAGAAGAUUAGCAUGGCCCCUGUGCAAGGAUAACACUCACAAAUCGAGAAAAGGUCCAUAUUCCA
rnacentral:snRNA from 1 species